GGCGCGGUCAGUGUUCGGCUCCUCCGCAGUGACUCACCAGCGUCCUGAAGCUUUUGAUCACCAUUGGCUGGGAAGGAAAAACAGAAUCAGCUGUUCCCUGCGAAAGGUAUCAUAUGUUUCUUACAAAGUGGAGGUUUGUGGCAGCCCUGCAUGGAGCAAGUCUGUCAGCACCAUCUUUCUAACAGUAUGUGCUCACUUCAUGUCUCUCUCACAUUUUGGUAAUUCUUGGAAUGUUUCCGUUAUUAAAUCAGUUAUAGUGAUCUGUGAUUAGUGAUCUUUGAUAUUACUGUCAUAAUUGCUUGGGGGGCACCAUGAACCACCCCUAUAUAAGACAGCAAACUGAGUCGAUAAAUGUUUUAUGUGUUCUGACCACUGCACUGACCAGCUGCCUCCCUAUCUCUCUCCUUCUGCUCAGACCUCCCUAUCCUUGAGACACAGCAAUACUGAAAUUAGGGGCCAGGCAUGGUGGUGGCUCAUGCCUGUAGUCCCAGCUACUUGGGAGACUGAAGCAGGAGGAUUGCUUGAGCCUAGGAGUUCGAGGCUGCAGUGAGCUGUGAUCACGCCACUGCACUUCAGCAUGGGCAGCAAAGCAAGACCCUGACUCAAAAAAAAAAAAAAAUCAGGCAAUUAAUAGCCCUAAAAUGGCUACUGUUUCAUAAAAGAAUGAGUUGCACAUCUCUUACUUUAAAUCAAAACUAGAAAUGAUUAAUGAUUAAGCAUGGUGAGGAAGGCAUGUUGAAACAGCUAAGUCGUGAAUGCAAAGGAAAAGUUCUUGAAGGAAAUUUGAAGUGCUCCUACAGUGAAUACACAAAUGGUAAGAAAAUAAAACAGCUUUAUUGCUGAUAUGGAGAAACUCUGAGUGGUCUGUAUAGAUUAAACCAGCCACAAUAUUCUGAUAAAGCCUAAUCCAGAGUAAGGCCCUAACUCUCUUCAGUUUUCUGAAGGCUGAGAGAGGUAAGGAAGCUACAGAAGAAAAAUCUGAAGCUAUCAGAGGUUGGUUCAUGAGGUUGAAGGAAAGAAGCUGUCUCUAUAAUACAAAAGUGCAAGAUAGGCCAGGCAUGGUGGCUUAUGCCUGUAAUUCCAGCACUUUGGGAGGCCAAUGCAAGUGGAUCCCUUGAGGUGAGGAGUUCAAGACCAGCCUGGCCAACAUGGUGAAACCCUGCCUCCACUAAAAAUACAAAAAUUAACUGGGUGUGGUGGCACACGCCUGUAGUCCCAGCUACUCAGGAGGCUAAGGCAGGAGGAUCACUUGAACCCAGGAGUUGGAGGUUGCUGUAAGCCAAGAUCACACCACCACACUCCUGGGUAACAGAGUGAGACUCCAUCUCAAAAAAAAAAAUGUGCAAGUGCAAGAUAAAGCAGCAAGUCAUCUAGGAGAUCUACCUAAGAUCACUGAUGAAGACGGCUUUGCUAAACAAUAGGUUUUCAUUGGAGUUGAAACAACCUUAUUUUGGGAAAAGAUGCCGCCCAGGACUGUCAUAACUAGAGAGGAGAAGUCAAAGCCUGGCUUCAGAGCUCCAAAGGACAGGCUGACCCUUGCUAGGGGGCUAGUGCAGCUGAUGACUUUAUGUUGAAGCCAGUGCUCAUUUAUCAUUCUGAAAAUCCUAGAGUCCUUAAGCGUUAUGCUAAUUCUAGUCUGCCUCUGCUGUGUAGAUAGAACAACAAAGCCUAGAUGACAGCACAUCUACUUACACAGUGUGGUUUACUAAAUAUUGUCAGCCCACUGUUGUUGAGACCUACUGCUCAGGAAAAAAAAAAGAUUUCGUUUCAAAAUAUUACUGCUGAUUUACAGUGCUCCUGUUCACCCA
rnacentral:lncRNA from 1 species